UGCAGUCGAGGGGUAACAGGGAGCUUGCUCCGCUGACGACCGGCGCACGGGUGCGCACCGCGUAUGGAACCUACCUUGUACAGGGGAAUAGCCUUUGGAAACGAAGAUUAAUGCCCCGUGGUACCACGACCCGGCAUCGGGAUGUGGUUAAAGCCUUCGGGCGGUACAAGAUGGCCAUGCGUCCCAUUAGCUUGUUGGUAAGGUAACGGCUUACCAAGGCUACGAUGGGUAGGGGCCCUGAGAGGGGGAUCCCCCACACUGGUACUGAGACACGGACCAGACUCCUACGGGAGGCAGCAGUGAGGAAUAUUGGACAAUGGAGGAGACUCUGAUCCAGCCAUGCCGCGUGCAGGAAGAAUGCCCUAUGGGUAGUAAACUGCUUUUAUACGGGAAGAAAAAGAGCUACGUGUAGCUUACUGACGGUACCGUAAGAAUAAGGACCGGCUAACUCCGUGCCAGCAGCCGCGGUAAUACGGAGGGUCCGAGCGUUAUCCGGAAUUAUUGGGUUUAAAGGGUCCGUAGGCGGGCCGAUAAGUCAGGGGUGAAAGUUUGCAGCUCAACUGUAAAAUUGCCUUUGAUACUGUUGGUCUUGAGUUAUAGUGAAGUUGCCGGAAUAUGUAGUGUAGCGGUGAAAUGCAUAGAUAUUACAUAGAACACCGAUUGCGAAGGCAGGUGACUAACUAUAUACUGACGCUGAUGGACGAAAGCGUGGGGAGCGAACAGGAUUAGAUACCCUGGUAGUCCACGCCGUAAACGAUGGAUACUAGCUGUCCGGGACCUUGAGUUCUGGGCGGCCAAGCGAAAGUGAUAAGUAUCCCACCUGGGGAGUACGUUCGCAAGAAUGAAACUCAAGGAAUUGACGGGGGCCCCGCACAAGCGGUGGAGCAUGUGGUUUAAUUCGAUGAUACGCGAGGAACCUUACCAGGGCUUAAAUGCAUAUUGACAGGUCUAGAGAUAGAUUUUCCUUCGGGCAAUUUGCAAGGUGCUGCAUGGUUGUCGUCAGCUCGUGCCGUGAGGUGUCAGGUUAAGUCCUAUAACGAGCGCAACCCCUACCGUUAGUUGCCAGCAUGUCAUGAUGGGGACUCUAACGGGACUGCCGGUGCAAACCGUGAGGAAGGUGGGGAUGACGUCAAAUCAUCACGGCCCUUACGUCCUGGGCCACACACGUGCUACAAUGGCAGGUACAGAGAGCAGCCAUGUCGCAAGGCAGAGCGAAUCUAUAAAACCUGUCACAGUUCGGAUCGGGGUCUGCAACUCGACCCCGUGAAGCUGGAAUCGCUAGUAAUCGGAUAUCAGCCAUGAUCCGGUGAAUACGUUCCCGGGCCUUGUACACACCGCCCGUCAAGCCAUGGAAGCCGGGAGUGCCUGAAGUCCGUCACCGUAAGGAGC
rnacentral:rRNA from 1 species